CAGCCGCCGCGGUAAUACGAAGGGGGCUAGCGUUGUUCGGAUUUACUGGGCGUAAAGCGCACGUAGGCGGAUCGAUCAGUCAGGGGUGAAAUCCCAGAGCUCAACUCUGGAACUGCCUUUGAUACUGUCGAUCUGGAGUAUGGAAGAGGUGAGUGGAAUUCCGAGUGUAGAGGUGAAAUUCGUAGAUAUUCGGAAGAACACCAGUGGCGAAGGCGGCUCACUGGACACGUAUUGACGCUGAGGUACGAAAGCGUGGGGAGCAAACAGGAUUAGAGACCCCCGUAGUCCCUGUCUCUUAUAC
rnacentral:rRNA from 1 species